UAACCUGCUAAAUAGUUAGGCCAACGUUUGUUGGUCGACAACUUCUUAGAGGGACUAUUGACUAUUAGUCAAUGGAAGUUUGAGGCAAUAACAGGUCUGUGAUGCCCUUAGAUGUUCUGGGCCGCACGCGCGCUACACUGAUCAAGUCAGCGAGUUUACAACCUUGGCCGGAAGGUCUGGGUAAUCUUUUGAAACUUGAUCGUGCUGGGGAUAGUCCAUUGCAAUUAUUGGACUUCAACGAGGAAUUCCUAGUAAGCGUGAGUCAUCAGCUCACGUUGAUUACGUCCCUGCCCUUUGUACACACCGCCCGUCGCU
rnacentral:rRNA from 1 species